rnacentral:tRNA from 1 species
GGCUCGGCGCUGGUGGGCUUCGGCGCGGCCGCGCUGCUGCCGCACUUCGGCUGGCGCGCGGUGCUGAUGGUGGGCGGUGCGAUCCCGCUGCUGUGCCU